rnacentral:rRNA from 1 species
GGUAACGGCCCACCAAGGCGACGAUCAGUAGCCGGUCUGAGAGGAUGAACGGCCACAUUGGAACUGAGACACGGUCCAGACUCCUACGGGAGGCAGCAGUGGGGAAUCUUCCGCAAUGGACGAAAGUCUGACGGAGCAACGCCGCGUGAGUGAAGAAGGCCUUCGGGUUGUAAAGCUCUGUUAUUCGGGAAGAACGAUUCGUUUGUGAACAAUGAACGGAAGUGACGGUACCGAAAGAGAAAGCCACGGCUAACUAC